rnacentral:rRNA from 1 species
GAUGAACGCUGGCGGCGUGCCUAAUACAUGCAAGUCGAGCGAACAGACGAGGAGCUUGCUCCUCUGACGUUAGCGGCGGACGGGUGAGUAACACGUGGAUAACCUACCUAUAAGACUGGGAUAACUUCGGGAAACCGGAGCUAAUACCGGAUAAUAUAUUGAACCGCAUGGUUCAAUAGUGAAAGACGGUUUUGCUGUCACUUAUAGAUGGAUCCGCGCCGCAUUAGCUAGUUGGUAAGGUAACGGCUUACCAAGGCGACGAUGCGUAGCCGACCUGAGAGGGUGAUCGGCCACACUGGAACUGAGACACGGUCCAGACUCCUACGGGAGGCAGCAGUAGGGAAUCUUCCGCAAUGGGCGAAAGCUUGACGGAGCAACGCCGCGGGAGUGAUGAAGGUCUUCGGAUCGUAAAACUCUGUUAUUAGGGAAGAACAAAUGUGUAAGUAACUAUGCACGUCUUGACGGUACCUAAUCAGAAAGCCACGGCUAACUACGU